rnacentral:lncRNA from 1 species
UAAACGGUGGUGACGGUCGCGUUUCUAACCAUAUCUCUCACGUCGUCCAUCUCCCGUCUCGACGUUCCAGGCGCCGUGGUGGGCGCCAGCAUCACUUCGCUGCUCGCCAUCCUGCGAAUUCUCCCCUCGCAUCCACACAAUAGACGAAACUACGAUACGAUAUCGACACUUUCGCAUCAAACCAAGACGAUCUUUCUCCCCAUUUCUUUCUUAAAAUUCCCAGAUAUUCCAACGAUUCGAGAGAUAAGAGAAUUCCUUUGAAAUUUUCCCCUCGAUGAUUCUAAUAAUUUUUCUAAUCUCCUCUGUGGGUUCGUCGAUGGUAAAAAAGUAAGAAAUAAAAAUGACUAGAAUUAUUCGUCCAGACGAUGGUGUAAAUUUCAUAUAGCUAGUUUCGGGCACUUAAUUGAACGUUUGUCGCGUCGCGGAAGUAUCGAUAAAGAAGACUGGAUGGAACAUGGCAGCAGCGUGUCGGAAUAAUCGAGGCAUGGUAUCGAUCCAAGCCGAGAUUCCUCAUAAUCUCCAGAGUUGACAGAGUGGUCGGAUGCAUUCCUGAUUCCACUUGGACCUCGGUGUGAAUCAAAUUUCACGAUGGCAACGAGCCAGGAACGCCGGAUUUCAACGCAGCAGUCGUCGAAAAACCGAUUGGGCGUCGGAUAAAAGAACUCUCGUCUCGCGAAUCGUCGUCGGUUCCCGCGUACACUCGUCGCCCUUCCCCCCCAUGAUUCGACGAUUUGCUAACUAAAUCGGAAAAAAAAAAAAAAAAAAACAAAAGAAGCGAAUAUAAAGUCACUCUCGAUCCGUAAAGUCACCAAUUUCACCGUGGAAAAACUGUUCGAGAAAUUCUGAAGUUCCAGGAUCACUAUAAAGGAAGGAAAAUGGAAUGUCAGGUCAAAUCAUGUCAAAAGAACGUUUUCUCUUCGCGUCACGAAGUCGAGCAGUUCAAUCGGAUCCGUAAAUUUAUCCAAACACCAUCGCUUCGACGAAAUUCACGCACGAACUUGAAACACGCACUACUCUUUCCUCCACUCAGGAUCCGCCAACGUCUCGAUAAUCCACACCUCGGUGUUACCUCGAUCCUCUCCGAUUCUGAUCAUCCUCUCCGAGGAAAUGAUCGACGAGGGAAAUCGAGGUGAACCGACGACGUCGAUCACGAGCGUGCCACGAAGGAACGGAGAACGGAACUGGCCGGCCACUGAAUGCCACAAGUGUGUGCCGAGUAUGGAACGAGACUAGAGAGGCGAAGCGUGGUUUCAUUCUCUCGAUGCACGCUGCAACAAGAGGAUCGAGAGAGAGAGAGGAGAGACGCGCAGAGGAGAGGAGAGCGCGCGGUGGUUCGCUGCGUGAGUCAGCUGGCGUGCUCUAAGGCUGGCGUGUGUGCAAAGUCGGAUCGUUAGGCCUCUUAGGAGGUGGAACGAGGAGGGGAGAAUUGUGAUUCACGUGGCCGGGGAUGGCUUUUGACGAAGGGAGACGUGACUCGACGAGAAGAAAACCUUAUUCCUCCUCCUUUUCUCCUCCUCUCUCUCCGCAGAGACGCAAGACACGAUGUAGUAAAAUUGUACGAUCGGUGUUCAUCGUUGAGUGACCGUGCACCGUGGAGAAUUAACGUUUUUCGAAAGGCGUUUUGCGAGAAGAAGGUAUAUACAAGGGUACGUAGAAAAAAAUGGAGAGAACGUAAAGCGGAGGCGGCGUUCGAUUUACGACACGGUGGAAGAUCGAUCCGGUAACAUCUGGUGGAGGAUGAUCGCACAAAGGAAGUGGAGAUUCGUUCCGUCAUCACCGGGGGACACUUUUCGCUCUCUAAGAAGAAACGAAGCUGUUUAAUAGAGGCUCGAUAUAUAAACGAGCAUGAACACGGGUCUCGGUUAAUGGAAAUACAUCUGUUAUUCGCCCCGUCCGUUCCUUAAAUAGCCGAUAGAAAUACACUAGCCAAGAGGAAUCAAAAGGUAGCAUAAAAUAAGUGUUGCUCGAUGCAAUUAGGUAUACCUUCGGCUACCACCACCAACUCUCUGUACGCACUGCAAUUAGUUAUUCCGUUGCCGAGAAACUUCAGCGUCCGAUCACGAAUUUCCCUGAAUUUGUUGUUUGCCCUAAAAACGGGUCGAAAUUAAUUCCAACAGUGGGGGAUAUUUCGAAACAUCUCGUAAAAAAUUCUUUUCCUUCUUUUCUUAAAACGGUCUCGCGAAUUAUGAACGAAGAGAAAAAGGGGAAAAUAUUGUUGCAAUCGUUGGUGGAAAAAAAUUCGCGACGAUAUUACGUUGUUGCGUGCUGGCUCUCCCUUCUCCCUCGGGUGGAAGCGCGAACGACGACUUAUCUAAUCCCAUCACGGUUUCUCUCGUACCAUGGGAGCUCGUUCCGAUGAUUUAUUACCACGAAACGAGAACUUUGAACGUGAAAUACGCAAUACAUCUCGCGAUUAACAGAGUUACACCAAUCUCCAUAUAAUUGGAUAAUACUUCCCAAAGGAAAUCGAUUGUAAUAUAACAACACGUAAUAAUAAUAAUUUAAUUUAGCCAAGCGUCGGUUACGAUUAUUCUCCAACUCGUGUCGAUCCUUAAGAAAAAAAAAAAAAGUGUCGAAGAUGACGGGAUCGAUCCAAGGAAUUUGAACCGCGAUAAAUGUAAUUUUAACGUAACGUCGCGGCAAACGCGAUAAUUGACGAGCAAAACGACGAAUCGAGAAUUAAAAUUUCAUCCGUCACGGGAAUGGAAUGGAAUUUCAACCCGAUCUACACCGCAUCAUUAAUAUUUAAUCCGAUGGAUCCUUAAUACGUAACCGCUAUGUGAUUUAAUAAAAUCUUUAUGUAUCUUUGAACACGCAUACGUUUUAUCCAAGUUCAAAUCUGCUAUCGAGAUUCGAUUCUUGGUGUUAUCUAAGAUAAAGUGAUAUUAAUAUUAAUUUGGAAGGUUAAAAUUCACCAAAUCACUCUACAGUUAAUCGUCGUCGUUUCAUCGAAAUAACUAAAUAAUUCAUCGAGUAUUUAAUAAACGAAUCGGUUUUGUGAAAUAUUUCGCGAGAAAAAUCUUGUCUCUUAAGAAAAACGGAAGGGACGACGCGUAUCUGUCAGGGUUGAAGUAUACAGUCGUCGAACCAACGACGAUUUACCACGAAGAUGAAGGAAAGAGAGUGCAGUUACGAGUUAUGAGUAUAAGGAAACCUAAUCGGCAAUAAACUUCACGAUACCGCGUCUGUUGUUCUACACCAUUAACGGAGAAUAUAGAGACGGUUACGCUCACACACGCCUUCUAUCGUAACACGAGUAAUCUCAUUAUCGUAAAAUAAACUGGUAAAUUGAGUAAAUCGCGUCGAAAAUUAAUUUCCAAUAUCAUAUAUUGAUGAAUUGUAAUACUACUAUUUUUUUUUAUUUUUUGGAAUUAUCUUGGAAUAUUGUAUUAUAGUUUUCGCGAAAUUAAAUAAUUUCGAUUCGAUACGAAUUUUAAUUCUAACGCGUUUAAGCGUCACCAAAUAUUAACUUGAUUCAAUGUAGUAUAAUAAUAAUAGCUUCAAUAUAUACGUCCCGUGUAAAAUCAUUAUAAUCCUCGUGUGUCGUAUAAAUAGGAAAAUCAAUUAUAACUUCUACAAAUUGUUUCAUAUUUUAUUUUCACAUUUUAAAGAUACGAACAACAUUCCAUAAAUAUCGAGAAGCAUUAUAGUAGCUCGACGACACCGGUUGCUAAACGAUUCUAACAAACAAUUUAUUGUCCGAUUACACAAACGAUUCAUUGAUAUCUCUAUCUGUAAUAAAUAUUCCAAGUUAAAAAAAAAACAAAUCUAAUUAGAAAAAAAAAGAAAUAACAAUCUUAUCGCAAAUAGAAUAUCACUAAAAAAAUAGUUACGAGUCGAUUAAAAUUAAAAAUUGGUCGCAAGAUGGAAAGGUUCGAUGUUCGAGAUCGAAAUGAAAUAUACCUCGUUCGUUAGCGGCCAGACAUCGCGUUUAUCAUCGCGAAGAUAAGUCUGGAUUCGUAAUUGAGCGGAAUGCACGAGCAACAGUUUUCUCUUCGUUGCCGAUCCUUCGAAUCUGACGAUUUAUCUUCGCGUAUCAGCCCCCGAACCCGUGUCGCCCGCCACGGACUUCGAGGAUACUUCGAACCGGUGUAAAUGGCGCGCGUACAACGCAACAACAACAACAACAACACAACCUAUCCGCGCCAACAAAACCAUUUACGAUCCACUCCAGCAACGGGUGAGCUCUCGCUUUCGCCUCUGCUACCCACGCCAUUACCUUCCACGAUGUUUUUAUCCGUCACGGUUUACCGGAUUUCGAAAUUGAAAAGAAUGGCGCGCCUCGCGGAGAGUCGAACGCCUCGUCGUUUUUAAUCAAAAACCCGAUUUUUCAGGCAGGGUUUGUUCUUGUUUGCUUCUCUUCUUUUCUUCUCUCUCGAGAAAAACUGAAUUAAUGACGCGCAUCGCGAGGAAAACGAGAGAGAGAGAGAGAGGUGAAAGUUGGCUCGCACGCACGUAUUUAUAGGAAUCUUAUUGCUCGUUUGUUAACAGAGAUAAAGAUGUAUUUAUGUAUAUCGAUGAAAGUUUGAAAAAAUUUGUGGAGUUUUAUAUUAUUGGAAAUUAUGAAUUACGAAGAAGAAAGAGAAAGCGAAAGAGAAAAAAAAUUGCCCACGAUUACGCCUACGCGUGUUUAUUAAAAGAAAAAGACCGAUCCGACGUUAUCUUAUAUAAUACAACGUUCGAUCGUCUCGCAAGGAUGAAACCACGCGAUUUAAAUCGCAGCAUCGCAGUGGUUCUUAGACAUUUUCUAUGAAUUUAUAUUUUCGAUCAAGCGUGCGUUUAAAAAGAACGUUAAAAUGUUCUUCAGUGACUGAAUUUUUCCGCUGAUGAAAACCAAUUCUCAACGAUUAUCGAACAAAAAACCAAUAAUCCAUCGGAUCUGAAACAACGUCAAUUACUAACAAUUACUUUUAACUUGUUUAAACCCAUCAAUGACGAUGGCUGCAUCAACGCGACCUUUCUCAACACCUUCGUUACGAAGGUGAGAAAUGAUUAGGAAAAAAGAUAUUAAGAACCACUGAUGCAACGCGUCGUACGUGAAACGAGUCAGAGGCAUACAUCACGAACGUUUCGAUUACCGUACAAGGUAUGGCGAAGGUGUGCCGCGGCGAUUUUCCUGUUGGAAAGAUAUGUGACGGGGUCGAUUUCAAUGUAAAACGUCCCGGAAAAACCUCGAUCUUAAGUAGUUCUAGCGUUCUAGAAAGAGGAGGACCGGUCGUGACCAAACGCGAUCCAUCUGUCAAGAUCAUUGGAACAAGCACAGCUUUAUUUAGACGCAGAAUACGUGAAUUGCACGUGACUUUAGAUAUAGCAGGUUAGAUAGAAACAGUGUUACUUUGAUGUGUAUCAAUGGGUGCGACACAACGUUGUAAAUGUCGUCCCUGAAGAAGAGCACACAUAGAUGCAUCGUGAUUGAAUACAUUUUGCAAACCGCAUUCGCUCGAAUUAACACGAUUCUCUGAGUCACUGUUGCACGACUAUUUCUGGAAUGUAUAAUAAUACACCAGUGACCAAUUUGUGGAUUGUACAGUCUGUGGAAGGAAUAUAACUGAGGAGGAAUGCAGAGUCUGUCAGCCAUCAAAGUUUGCAUACGAAGUUUGAGAGAAAUUGGAGAGAACACGAGAGAUCAAAGUUGAGUGAGGUUCUACGCGAGAAAAAUCAUUUUUCGCGAUGACAUGGAAUAAAAGGGUCAAGUUUUCAGGAAGAGAAUGUUUCCAUGGUCCCCAAGGACGAGUCGCUUCAUUCCAAGUCACCGGUAGUGGCGUAAUUAAACGGAUAAUUACGAUCGCGCGACGCGAUUCCUGGAGAUCCAGCCUCGUUUUACCGUGCAAUAAAUAAGCUUGCGUACAGGAAACGACGCCAUAUUCGUCAUAGCGUCGCAGCUCGGGAAUAGCUUUCGUAUAUAAUGUCGUCUGCACGGCUGUCCGUGCACGUGAACUGCGUAAAUAUCAUGUACAAGAAUUUUCAGUGAACAAACUGAAGACAACUUCAUGUCUUGUUUACGGAAAAGUGAUGACAAGUAUUUUUUAUCAUAAAAAAUCGAUUAUAUGUUAAUUAUGAUUUCUCAUUUGUUACUAUUAGAAUACGAAGUUACAAAUUAUCAAAGGAAUUGAUGAGAAUCUACUAGUCUGAAAAGAAAAUUAUUAUGCAACGUGAAAUAGAUUCUUCUUCAAAUGCGUAAUAAUUUCUAAACGUAUCAAGAUUUUUCAUAGUACGUAUGUGAAUAAUGAAAAUAACUAAACUUCGACGUAGAUUAUCGAUGACCAACGUGUUAAAGAAUGCGGUGAAUACAUUAUUUUGAAUAGAUUUAAUUAUCUCAAACUUUUUCGUGAAUUAUUUUUACUAAUAGUAUUAUAGUAUAUUUAUUUUUUUAGAUAUUAUUAUAAUAAUAAUUUAAAUAAUUAUAUAACGUGAUAAAUUUGAACAAUUUAAAAGGAGAAAAUUGAUUAAUUCAAAGAGAUAAAUCUAAUAAAAAGUUCAACUUUUAAUUAUAUAUAAUAAGUUAUAAGUUUAACUUAUUUUGACUUAUUGAGACAAUUAUUAUAAUAAGAAAAUGAAUUCUUCAUGCUGAAUAUAUCUUUUUUAACAAUUUUUUAUAAGAUAUUGUUGUGAACAUUAAAGAUUAAUUAGUUACAAUUCUUAAUUUAAAAUACUGAAUUUCAUGCUUUGAUUCACAAAAUGAUAUAAACGAAAAAUUUGAAGAUAAAAGACAGUUGAAAAGCAU